CAGGAGCCAACGCUCCUCCUCGUGAGGCCCCACUGGGUCCUCACCAUGAUCAAUUUCUACUUACUUCUCGAACGGUUCAGAUAACCGAAGAAGACCUUCAGCGUAUGAUCACGGAAGAUUCAACUCGUGCUGCCACUGAAUCAGUGGCACCAUAUAUCGCCAAGGUGAGGCAUCUCACCCCAGUGGUUCGUGAUCGCCUCAUCCUAAAUGGGGGGCUAUCCCAUCCUAAAUUUGGGCAUCUCCUCUCAAGGGUGGUACAUCCACUGACCUUUCAUCCCCAAGGGGGUGCACAUCCCAUCUCAAGGAACGAGGAUAAUCUCCCUACUUAAAAAAUAGAACAUCCCCAAGAGGGGUGCACAUCCCAUCUCAAGGAACGAGAAUAAUCUCCCUACUCAAAAAAUAGAACAUCCCCAAGGGGGUGCACAUCCCAUCUCAAGGAACGAGAAUAAUCU
rnacentral:lncRNA from 1 species